GAUGAACGCUGGCGGCGUGCCUAAUACAUGCAAGUCGAGCGAACGGACGAGAAGCUUGCUUCUCUGAUGUUAGCGGCGGACGGGUGAGUAACACGUGGAUAACCUACCUAUAAGACUGGGAUAACUUCGGGAAACCGGAGCUAAUACCGGAUAAUAUUUUGAACCGCAUGGUUCAAAAGUGAAAGACGGUCUUGCUGUCACUUAUAGAUGGAUCCGCGCUGCAUUAGCUAGUUGGUAAGGUAACGGCUUACCAAGGCAACGAUGCAUAGCCGACCUGAGAGGGUGAUCGGCCACACUGGAACUGAGACACGGUCCAGACUCCUACGGGAGGCAGCAGUAGGGAAUCUUCCGCAAUGGGCGAAAGCCUGACGGAGCAACGCCGCGUGAGUGAUGAAGGUCUUCGGAUCGUAAAACUCUGUUAUUAGGGAAGAACAUAUGUGUAAGUAACCGUGCACAUNNNNUUUGUUGGGGGGUCUUAAAAAAAAACGCGUUUUUUUUUUUGUGCCCGCCGGGGAAAUAAAGGGGGGGGGGCCUGACCAAUUUUUUGGGCGUAAAGCGCGCGUAGGCGGUUUUUUAAGUCUGAUGUGAAAGCCCACGGCUCAACCGUGGAGGGUCAUUGGAAACUGGAAAACUUGAGUGCAGAAGAGGAAAGUGGAAUUCCAUGUGUAGCGGUGAAAUGCGCAGAGAUAUGGAGGAACACCAGUGGCGAAGGCGACUUUCUGGUCUGUAACUGACGCUGAUGUGCGAAAGCGUGGGGAUCAAACAGGAUUAGAUACCCUGGUAGUCCACGCCGUAAACGAUGAGUGCUAAGUGUUAGGGGGUUUCCGCCCCUUAGUGCUGCAGCUAACGCAUUAAGCACUCCGCCUGGGGAGUACGACCGCAAGGUUGAAACUCAAAGGAAUUGACGGGGACCCGCACAAGCGGUGGAGCAUGUGGUCUAAUUCGAAGCAACGCGAAGAACCUUACCAAAUCUUGACAUCCUUUGACAACUCUAGAGAUAGAGCUUUCCCCUUCGGGGGACAAAGUGACAGGUGGUGCAUGGUUGUCGUCAGCUCGUGUCGUGAGAUGUUGGGUUAAGUCCCGCAACGAGCGCAACCCUUAAGCUUAGUUGCCAUCAUUAAGUUGGGCACUCUAAGUUGACUGCCGGUGACAAACCGGAGGAAGGUGGGGAUGACGUCAAAUCAUCAUGCCCCUUAUGAUUUGGGCUACACACGUGCUACAAUGGACAAUACAAAGGGCAGCGAAACCGCGAGGUCAAGCAAAUCCCAUAAAGUUGUUCUCAGUUCGGAUUGUAGUCUGCAACUCGACUACAUGAAGCUGGAAUCGCUAGUAAUCGUAGAUCAGCAUGCUACGGUGAAUACGUUCCCGGGUCU
rnacentral:rRNA from 1 species